rnacentral:rRNA from 1 species
GGCACUAGGAGCCGAUGAAGGACGUGAUAAGCUGCGAUAAGCUUCGGGGAGUUGCACGUAAACUUUGAUCCGAAGAUUUCCGAAUGAGGAAACUCACUUAGAGUAAUGUCUAAGUAUCAUUAAGUGAAUACAUAGCUUAAUGAGGGGAACUCAGGGAACUGAAACAUCUAAGUACCUGAAGGAAGAGAAAGAAAUUCGAUUCCGUAAGUAGCGGCGAGCGAACGCGGAUUAGCCCAAACCAAUAAAGUUUUCUUUAUUGGGGUUGUGGACAUAUCAUAACGAAGAGGUAUCGUAAUUGAAGAGGUUUGGAAAGACCCACCACAGAAGGUAAUAGUCCUGUAUGUUAAACGAGAAGACUUUAGAUAUGAUCCAGAGUACCACGGGACACGUGAAACCCUGUGGGAAGCAGGAGGGACCACCCUCCAAGGCUAAAUACUACCUAG